rnacentral:rRNA from 1 species
UACGUAGGGGGCAAGCGUUAAUCGGAAUUACUGGGCGUAAAGCGUGCGUAGACGGUUACAUAAGUCGGGUGUGAAAGCCCCGGGCUCAACCUGGGAAUUGCAUUCGAGACUGCGUAGCUAGGGUGCGGAAGAGGGAAGCGGAAUUUCCGGUGUAGCGGUGAAAUGCGUAGAUAUCGGAAGGAACACCAGUGGCGAAAGCGGCUUCCUGGUCCAGCACCGACGUUCAGGCACGAAAGCGUGGGGAGCAAACAGG